rnacentral:rRNA from 1 species
UACGUAGGGUGCGAGCGUUAAUCGGAAUUACUGGGCGUAAAGCGUGCGCAGGCGGUCUGUUAAGACAGAUGUGAAAUCCCCGGGCUUAACCUGGGAACUGCAUUUGUGACUGGCAGGCUAGAGUAUGGCAGAGGGGGGUAGAAUUCCACGUGUAGCAGUGAAAUGCGUAGAGAUGUGGAGGAAUACCGAUGGCGAAGGCAGCCCCCUGGGCUAACACUGACGCUCAUGCACGAAAGCGUGGGGAGCAAACAGG